CCCGUGUGAGACGGACAAUGAAAACACUCUGCGUCCGAUCGUCCGAUCGGUUACUAUGACAUGGUUCACUACUUGGUGAACAUAAAGAAGUAUGUAAACCACGGAGGAGGAUGGAAAGCCGCCUUCUCAAAUGAAAUAUAAGCAGAUGAGUCCCCGUUCAACGACCUUGUAGAGAACAUUCGACCUCUUCACGCGAAUGACUCGGUUCUGGUCACUGGCAAAACAAGCAGCCAUGGGAGAUGAGGGGAAAGUCUCCAUCAACACACUUUGGGGCCCGUGCUGAUGGUCAGCAGCAGCCCGAGGAGAACCAGGAAGGCCACGCUCCAGUAGGGAUCCAUGACUCUGUGCAUGGGACUGAAGAGGUUAGGAAGACAUCUGAUGAGAGAGUCGGUUUUGUCCAGA